AUGGAGCUACAUCGGCGGACCCCGAGAGCCUGGGCCGCCGGGACCAAUGGAUUUCUUGGCCUGGAACUGUCGGGGACUGGGGUUGGACCCGACGGUGGGCGAGCUGAGAGACCUGAUACGAUCUUACAACCCAAUGGUGGUAUUUUUGAAUUCACUGGAAUCUAUGGGGAACCUCAUAGGGAGCACCGAACGAAAACUUGGGAGGCUUUACGCUCUCUAGGAAGACAAGACAAUCUACCUUGGCUCUGUGCGUUAGAUUUUAAUGAGAUCCUCUUCCAAACAGAGCAACGGGGUGACAACCUGAGAAGUUUCAACCAGAUGGAGGGGUUUAGAGAGUGCCUAGCUGAAUGCGGCUUGGCGGACUUGGGAUUCACGGGGUACCCGUUUACGUGGGAUAAUAGGCAAGAAGCAGAAGGAAAUAUACAAGUUCGGAUCGACCGAGCCACAUGUGAUGAUGGUUUCCUUCAAGCAUUCCCGGAGACCAUGGUGGAUCAUGUUAUUACUGAGGAAUCGGACCAUGCAGCAUUAUUGAUUAUAGCGGCAGUGUCACUGGACACGGCUAGUAGAAGGGAGGCGAAGGGUUUCCGCUUUAAGGAGGCAUGGACCCGUCAUGAGGGGUAUGACGACAUGAUUUCACGUGCAUGGGAGGAAACCAACCAGCGGCUUGGAGAGACAGCGAACAUGGGCAUCAAGCUGGACGCGAUGACCAAGGCCAUGCAGAAAUGGAGCAGGGAGGUUUUUGGCUCGUUACGUAGACAUAUUUCAAAGCUCAAGGUGCAACUCAAGGACACCAAAGAGCAGUCGCUGCACACUGGUUAG
rnacentral:rRNA from 1 species